GAAGAAGGCCGCGGACCGCCGGGACUCAUAGCCUCCUUGGCGCUAAAAGAUUUUUUCUCUAUGUGAAUAUUCAUCUAUAAAUAUACUUUGCUACUGUAGAUGAACUAAGUAGUCGAAGAGACUCCGUGUCCUUCAAAGCUUAAACCAUUUCAUACCUCAAUCUCUAUGGUGUACACAGCGUUUGGGGGCGGGGAGGCAAACAUGGAUGUGAGUCCUAUCCCCAACCCCCAGUUUCUGCCCUUCUUGUCUCAGGGACCAACCCGUACGCGUAUCACUCAAUGUCGUUCUCCAACUUCAGGUCUUUAGUCAACAAGAAUAGCCAGCUGAAGACAGAAGAGAAGUGAAGUUAAGAAAAAAACUGACCAAAGUCUAUGUUCAGUAUGAGGGCGUUGGGAAGGACGGGGAAGAGAGGUUUAACAGGGAAGGAUGAAAAGGAUACAUUUGAAAGAACAUAGGAGGUAAAAUGGUCCCGACUUGACCAUAGGUUGGGGAAAGCAAGGGGUGGAUAUUUUCAUUGCUCCUGUUUUGUGCGUUUUCUUCAGGGACAAUUGACAACAGGGAAGCUAUCGGGAUCAUUGUUGCUGCCCCCCACCCCCACCGCAGAUAUUUUGUUGUGGAAGAAUGACAAACAGGAUGCCUCUGGGGCAUGUUGAAUUACGCAGAGCCUUGGGAUGAUUCCACAGUGGAGUGGGUCAGUGACUGGUAGUUGUGUGAAUCUGGAACUUGGCGAAGACGUGGGCUGAGACGUCUCCUUCAACUGAAAGCUUCGCAGUUUGCUCUCAGGAAGAAGCACACACCAUCUGCUCUGAGGAUCUUCCGUUGACAGCCUGGCCGGGGUCAUGCUAGGAUUCAGAAAUUGCUGAGUGUGAAAGGGGCCUGAGGGAUGGGUCAGAAGAGGGCAUUGGCGGCAAGGAUCAAGAGUUUCCACGGAAUAAUCUCAACACAAGCAGUUCGGGCGAGGGUGGUGGAUUUUAGUACAACUCCUUGUCAGUCACACCUUGCCCUGCAGGCAGCCUCUGGGGACUUGCGUCAGACCCAUGGAGAAGCAGUAACAGUGAUCAAAUAUUAAAAC
rnacentral:lncRNA from 1 species